GGCAGCAGUGAGGAAUAUUGGUCAAUGGGCGAGAGCCUGAACCAGCCAAGUAGCGUGAAGGAUGACUGCCCUAUGGGUUGUAAACUUCUUUUAUAAAGGAAUAAAGUCGGGUAUGUAUACCCGUUUGCAUGUACUUUAUGAAUAAGGAUCGGCUAACUCCGUGCCAGCAGCCGCGGUAAUACGGAGGAUCCGAGCGUUAUCCGGAUUUAUUGGGUUUAAAGGGAGCGUAGAUGGAUGUUUAAGUCAGUUGUGAAAGUUUGCGGCUCAACCGUAAAAUUGCAGUUGAUACUGGAUAUCUUGAGUGCAGUUGAGGCAGGCGGAAUUCGUGGUGUAGCGGUGAAAUGCUUAGAUAUCACGAAGAACUCCGAUUGCGAAGGCAGCCUGCUAAGCUGCAACUGACAUUGAGGCUCGAAAGUGUGGGUAUCAAACAGGAUUAGAUACCCUGGUAGUCCACACGGUAAACGAUGAAUACUCGCUGUUUGCGAUAUACGGCAAGCGGCCAAGCGAAAGCGUUAAGUAUUCCACCUGGGGAGUACGCCGGCAACGGUGAAACUCAAAGGAAUUGACGGGGGCCCGCACAAGCGGAGGAACAUGUGGUUUAAUUCGAUGAUACGCGAGGAACCUUACCCGGGCUUAAAUUGCAGAUGAAUUACGGUGAAAGCCGUAAGCCGCAAGGCAUCUGUGAAGGUGCUGCAUGGUUGUCGUCAGCUCGUGCCGUGAGGUGUCGGCUUAAGUGCCAUAACGAGCGCAACCCUUGUUGUCAGUUACUAACAGGUUCCGCUGAGGACUCUGACAAGACUGCCAUCGUAAGAUGUGAGGAAGGUGGGGAGGACGUCAAAUCAGCACGGCCCUUACGUCCGGGGCUACACACGUGUUACAAUGGGGGGUACAGAGGGCCGCUACCACGCGAGUGGAUGCCAAUCCCAAAAACCUCUCUCAGUUCGGACUGGAGUCUGCAACCCGACUCCACGAAGCUGGAUUCGCUAGUAAUCGCGCAUCAGCCACGGCGCGGUGAAUAAAUUCCCGGGCCUUGCACU
rnacentral:rRNA from 1 species